GGGGGUGGGGGGGUGCUUACGCUGCAAGUCCGACGAAGCAUUUGCACGGAAUCCCUCGGGAGGAAGUGUGAAUCGCCUUAGUGGCGGACGGGUGAGUAACGCGUGGGCAACCUGCCCCGUACCGGGGGAUAACAGCCGGAAACGGCUGCUAAUACCGCAUGAGCCUCUUUUGUCGCAUGACGGGAGAGGGACAGAGAAAUCGGUGAGAGAUGGAUCCGCGUCCGAUUAGCUAGUUGGAGGGGUAACAGCCCACCAAGGCGACGAUCGGUAGCCGACCUGAGAGGGUGGACGGCCACAUUGGGACUGAGACACGGCCCAAACUCCUACGGGAGGCAGCAGUGGGGAAUAUUGCACAAUGGGGGAAACCCUGAUGCAGCAACGCCGCGUGAGUGAGGAAGUAUUUCGGUAUGUAAAGCUCUAUCAGCAGGGAAUAGAAAAGAAGGUACCUGAAAAAGAAGCCCCGGCUAACUACGUGCCAGCAGCCGCGGUAAUACGUAGGGGGCAAGCGUUAUCCGGAUUUACUGGGUGUAAAGGGAGCGUAGACGGAAAGGCAAGUCAGAAGUGAAAACCCAAGGCUCAACCAUGGGACUGCUUUUGAAACUGUCAAACUAGAGUACGGGAGAGGUAAGAGGAAUUCCUAGUGUAGCGGUGAAAUGCGUAGAUAUUAGGAGGAACACCAGUGGCGAAGGCGUCUUACUGGACCGAAACUGACGUUGAGGCUCGAAAGCGUGGGGAGCAAACAGGAUUAGAUACCCUGGUAGUCCCCGCGGUAAACGAUGAAUACUAGGUGUUGGGGUAAAGAAACCUCGGUGCCGCAUCUAAACGCAAAAGUAUUCCACCUUGGGGAGUACGUUCGCAAAAAAUGAAACUCCAAAGGAAUUUGACGGGGGACCCGCACAA
rnacentral:rRNA from 1 species